GUGGGGAAUCUUGCGCAAUGGGCGAAAGCCUGACGCAGCCAUGCCGCGUGAAUGAUGAAGGUCUUAGGAUUGUAAAAUUCUUUCACCGGGGACGAUAAUGACGGUACCCGGAGAAGAAGCCCCGGCGAACUUCGUGCCAGCAGCCGCGGUAAUACGAAGGGGGCUAGCGUUGCUCGGAAUUACUGGGCGUAAAGGGCGCGUAGGCGGACAGUUUAGUCAGAGGUGAAAGCCCAGGGCUCAACCUUGGAAUUGCCUUUGAUACUGGCUGUCUUGAGUACGGGAGAGGGGAGUGGAACUCCGAGUGUAGAGGUGAAAUUCGUAGAUAUUCGGAAGAACACCAGUGGCGAAGGCGACUCACUGGCCCGUUACUGACGCUGAGGCGCGAAAGCGUGGGGAGCAAACAGGAUUAGAAACCCCAGUAGUCC
rnacentral:rRNA from 1 species